AUUGAACGCUGGCGGCAUGCUUUACACAUGCAAGUCGAACGGUAACAGGGUGCUUGCACCGCUGACGAGUGGCGAACGGGUGAGUAAUGCGUCGGAACGCACCGAGUAAUGGGGGAUAACGCAGCGAAAGCUGUGCUAAUACCGCAUACGCUCUGAGGAGGAAAGCGGGGGACCUUCGGGCCUUGCGUUAUUCGAGCGGCCGACGUCUGAUUAGCUAGUAGGUGAGGUAAGAGCUCACCUAGGCGACGAUCAGUAGCGGGUCUGAGAGGAUGAUCCGCCACACUGGGACUGAGACACGGCCCAGACUCCUACGGGAGGCAGCAGUGGGGAAUUUUGGACAAUGGGCGCAAGCCUGAUCCAGCCAUGCCGCGUGUCUGAAGAAGGCCUUCGGGUUGUAAAGGACUUUUGUCAGGGAGGAAAUCCUUAGCGCUAAUACCGUUGAGGGAUGACAGUACCUGAAGAAUAAGCACCGGCUAACUACGUGCCAGCAGCCGCCGUAA
rnacentral:rRNA from 1 species